AUACCCUAGUUUCUCUUCAGAUAGUAGAAAUCUUUUGGCGUUUAUUAAAUAUUUCUGUAGAGAGGAACAAUCUUGAGUAUUUUUUUUUAUUGUUGAGGAUUCAUAAAAAUAUGGAAC